GAAAUUGGAGAAUUUCCCUUUGCUUCUCUCUAUAUCUAUCCUCUUAAUCCCGUCUCUGCCUUUGCCUGCCUGUUUGUGUAGAGACAGUUAGAGAUGCCUCUUCUGAGGGCCCUUUGAUCCAAUUAUAAUGUUUUUGGGGUUUCUUAAAGCUUUUAUCUUUUCUUGAAGAGGCUAAGAUUUUGAUGCAGGUGUUGAGUCACUUCGCCUUAGUAAUCCACAGGCGCAGUGAAUAAAAUCCUGCAAGAUCCUUUGCAAUUUUAUUUUUCAUCACUUGUUUUGUUUCUUCUCUUUAGCAACUAACUUUUCUUGUAUUGGAGAAUGGGGUCCCAUGAUGACAUGGAAUCUUUGAGACCUGAAUUCAUGUAAUUUUGAUGAAAAUUACAAGCUUAAUUACUGAGGACCCCAUUGAUUAAGCUUGUAAUUUUCAUCAAAAUUACAUGAAUUCAGGUCUCAAAGAUUCCAUGUCAUCAUGGGACCCCAUUCUCCAAUACAAGAAAAGUUAGUUGCUAAAGAGAAGAAACAAAACAAGUGAUGAAAAAUAAAAUUGCAAAGGAUCUUGCAGGAUUUUAUUCACUGCGCCUGUGGAUUACUAAGGCGAAGUGACUCAACACCUGCAUCAAAAUCUUAGCCUCUUCAAGAAAAGAUAAAAGCUUUAAGAAACCCCAAAAACAUUAUAAUUGGAUCAAAGGGCCCUCAGAAGAGGCAUCUCUAACUGUCUCUAC
rnacentral:misc_RNA from 1 species